UACGAACGGGGCGAACGUUGUUCGGAAUCACUGGGCUUAAAGCGCACGUAGGCGGGCUGCUAAGUCAGGGGUGAAAUCCUGGAGCUCAACUCCAGAACUGCCUUUGAUACUGGCGAUCUUGAGUCCGGGAGAGGUGAGUGGAACUGCGAGUGUAGAGGUGAAAUUCGUAGAUAUCGGGAGGAACACCGGUGGCGAAGGCGGCGACCUGGGUAGAUACUGACGCUGAGGCGCGAAAGCGUGGGGAGCAAACAGG
rnacentral:rRNA from 1 species